rfam:Trichoderma harzianum strain T6776 Scaffolds0264.1, whole genome shotgun sequence.
GGCCGCGUGGCCUAAUGGCUAAGGCGCUAGAUUUCGGUUACAAUCACCUUCUCUAGAGAUUCCAGGUUCGACUCCUGGCGUGGUCG